rnacentral:rRNA from 1 species
GACGGACCACACGAACGUUAUUCGGAAUUACUGGGCUUAAAGGGUGCGUAGGCUGUGCAGAAAGUUGGGUGUGAAAUCCCUCGGCUUAACCGAGGAAUUGCGCCCAAAACUACUGUGCUUGAGGAAGAUAGAGGUAAGCGGAACUUAGGGUGGAGCGGUGAAAUGCGUUGAUAUCCUAAGGAACACCGGUGGCGAAGGCGGGUCUCUGGGCCGUAACUGACGCUGAGGAGCGAAAGCAUGGGGAGCGAACAGG